rnacentral:rRNA from 1 species
AGAAUCAACGCUGGCGGCGUGCCUCAGACAUGCAAGUCGAACGCGAAAGUCCCCUUCGGGGGCAAGUAGAGUGGCGCACGGGUGAGUAACACGUAGGUAAUCUACCUUUGGAUGGGGAAUAACAACCGGAAACGGUUGCUAAUACCGCAUAAUGCAGCGGCACCUAAUGGUGACAGUUGUUAAAGCGUGGGAUCGAAAGACCUCGCGUCUAAAGAGGAGCCUGCGGCGGAUUAGCUAGUUGGUAGGGUAAUGGCUUACCAAGGCUACGAUCC